UACAGAGGUGGCAAGCGUUGUUCGGAAUUACUGGGCGUAAAGAGUGCGUAGGCGGCUAUGUAAGACAGAUGUGAAAUCCCUGGGCUUAACCUAGGAACUGCAUUUGUGACUGCAUGGCUAGAGUGUGGUAGAGGGAGAUGGAAUUCCGCAUGUAGCAGUGAAAUGCGUAGAUAUGCGGAGGAACACCGAUGGCGAAGGCAGCCAUCUGGACCGACACUGACGCUGAGGCGCGAAAGCGUGGGGAGCAAACAGG
rnacentral:rRNA from 1 species